CGGGGUGAGUAAUGUAUGGGGAUCUGCCUGAUGGCGGGGGGUAACUACUGGAAACGGUAGCUAAUACCGCAUAAUGUCUGCGACCAAAGCGGGGACCGUCCGGGCCUCGCGCCAUCAGAUGAACCCAUAUGGGAUUAGCUUGUAGGUAAGGUAACGGCUUACCUAGGCGACGAUCCCUAGCUGGUCUGAGAGGAUGAUCAGCCACACUGGGACUGAGACACGGCCCAG
rnacentral:rRNA from 1 species